rnacentral:rRNA from 1 species
GAUGAACGCUGGCGGCGUGCCUAAUACAUGCAAGUAGAACGCUGAAGCUUGGUGCUUGCACCGAGCGGAUGAGUUGCGAACGGGUGAGUAACGCGUAGGUAACCUGCCUCUUAGCGGGGGAUAACUAUUGGAAACGAUAGCUAAUACCGCAUAAAAGUCGAUAUCGCAUGAUAUUGAUUUGAAAGGUGCAAUUGCAUCACUAAGAGAUGGACCUGCGUUGUAUUAGCUAGUUGGUGAGGUAACGGCUCACCAAGGCGACGAUACAUAGCCGACCUGAGAGGGUGAUCGGCCACACUGGGACUGAGACACGGCCCAGACUCCUACGGGAGGCAGCAGUAGGGAAUCUUCGGCAAUGGGGGCAACCCUGACCGAGCAACGCCGCGUGAGUGAAGAAGGUUUUCGGAUCGUAAAGCUCUGUUGUAAGAGAAGAACGAGUGUGAGAGUGGAAAGUUCACACUGUGACGGUAACUUACCAGAAAGGGACGGCUAACUACGUGCCAGCAGCCGCGGUAAUACGUAGGUCCCGAGCGUUAUCCGGAUUUAUUGGGCGUAAAGCGAGCGCAGGCGGUUAGAUAAAUCUGAAAUUAAAGGCUGUGGCUUAACCAUAGUACGCUUUUGGAAACUGUUUAACUUUGAGUGCAGAAGGGGAGAGUGGAAUUUCAUGUGUAUCGGUGAAAUGCGUAAAUUUAUGGAUGGAACUCCUGUGGGGAAAGCUGGU